GAUGAACGCUGGCGGCGUGCUUAACACAUGCAAGUCGAACGAUGAAGCCCAGCUUGCUGGGUGGAUUAGUGGCGAACGGGUGAGUAACACGUGAGUAACCUGCCCUUAACUCUGGGAUAAGCCUGGGAAACUGGGUCUAAUACCGGAUAGGAGCGUCCACCGCAUGGUGUGUGUUGGGAAGGUGUUUCGGUUUUGGAUGGACUCGCGGCCUAUCAGCUUGUUGGUGAGGUAAUGGCUCACCAAGGCGACGACGGGUAGCCGGCCUGAGAGGGUGACCAGCCACACUGGGACUGAGACACGGCCCAGACUCCUACGGGAGGCAGCAGUGGGGAAUAUUGCACAAUGGGCGCAAGCCUGAUGCAGCGACGCCGCGUGAGGGAUGACGGCCUUCGGGUUGUAAACCUCUUUUAGUAGGGAAGAAGCGAAAGUGACGGUACCUGCAGAAGAAGCACCGGCUAACUACGUG
rnacentral:rRNA from 1 species